GAUGAACGCUGACAGAAUGCUUAACACAUGCAAGUCGACUGUGGCGGACGGGCGAGUAACGCGUAAAGAACUUGCCUCACAGCUAGGGACAACAUUUGGUAACGAAUGCUAAUACCUGACACUGUGAGAGAGCUUUGCGUCCUAUUAGCUAGUUGGAGAGGUAACGGCUCACCAAGGCGAUGAUGGGUAGCCGGCCUGAGAGGGUGAUCGGCCACAAGGGGACUGGGGCACCGCCAUUAGUCCAUCGGGAGGCAGCGGUGGGGAAUAGUGGACAAUGGACCAAAGUCUGAUCCAGCAAUUCUGUGUGCACGAUGAAGUUUUCGGAAUGUAAAGGGCUUUCAGUUGGGAAGCGGUACCAACAGAAGAAGUGACGGCUAACUACGUGCCAGCCGCCGCGGUAAUAC
rnacentral:rRNA from 1 species